rnacentral:rRNA from 1 species
CCCUUAGAUGUUCUGGGCUGCACACGUGCUACACUGGCAGGUUCAGCGAGCUUCAUGCCCUGAUCUGAAAGGAAUGGGAAAUCUUUUCAAAACCUGCCGUGCUUGGGAUAGAUGUUUGCAAUUAUUCAUCUUCAACGAGGAUUGCCUUGUAAGCGCACGUCACCAGCGUGCAUUGAAUACGACCCUGUAUUCUGUACACACCGCCCGUCGCUCCUACCGAUUGAAGUUUUCGGUGAGUUGACAGGAGGAUUUUUUUGAAACUGGUUCGCCAGUGGAUUUUAGAUCCAAAUGCCAACGAAUCGAUGGCUUUAGAGGAGGGAGAAGUCGUAACA